rnacentral:rRNA from 1 species
GGGUCAGUAGGUUGGUCGUGCCACCGGUACGUACUGGUCUCACUGAUUCCUCCUUCCUGAAGAACCGUAAUGCCAUUAAUUUGGUGUUGCGGGGAAACAGGACUGUUACUUUGAAAAAAUUAGAGUGUUUAAAGCAAGCUAACGCUUGAAUACAUUAGCAUGGAACAAUGAAAUAAGACAAUCGAUCCUAUUUUGUUGGUUUCUAGGAUUGACGUA